rnacentral:rRNA from 1 species
AGCGAACGCUGGCGGCAGGCCUAACACAUGCAAGUCGAACGAACUCUUCGGAGUUAGUGGCGGACGGGUGAGUAACACGUGGGAACGUGCCUUUAGGUUCGGAAUAACUCAGGGAAACUUGUGCUAAUACCGAAUGUGCCCUUCGGGGGAAAGAUUUAUCGCCUUUAGAGCGGCCCGCGUCUGAUUAGCUAGUUGGUGAGGUAAAGGCUCACCAAGGCGACGAUCAGUAGCUGGUCUGAGAGGAUGAUCAGCCACAUUGGGACUGAGACACGGCCCAAACUCCUACGGGAGGCAGCAGUAGGGAAUCUUGCGCAAUGGGCGAAAGCCUGACGCAGCCAUGCCGCGUGAAUGAUGAAGGUCUUAGGAUUGUAAAAUUCUUUCACCGGGGACGAUAAUGACGGUACCCGGAGAAGAAGCCCCGGCUAACUUCGUG